rnacentral:rRNA from 1 species
GUUGAUCCCGCCGGACCCGACUGCUAUUUGGGUGAGAAUAAGCCAUGCGAGUUGAAUGGGAUACCUAAAGUUCCCAUAGCAAACUGCUCAGUAACACAUGAUCAACUUACCCUAUAGAGAAAAAUAACCUCGGGAAACUGAGGAUAAUGUUUCAUAAUUGAAUUGGCUUGGAAAAGUUUUUCAAUGAAAAGGAUAAAAAAAAUGGUUUUUAUCUGCUAUAGGAUAGGAUCGUGUUCGAUUAUGGUUGUUGGUGAGAUAAUGGCUCACCAAGCCGAUAAUCGAUAGGGGCCGUGAGAGCGGGAGCCCCGAGAUGGGUACUGAGACAACGACCCAGGCCUUACGAGGCGCAGCAGGCGCGGAACCUCCGCAAUACACGAAAGUGUGACGGGGUUACCCAAAGUGUUCAAUAGAACUGUGGUAGGUGAGUAAUGUUCCCUACUAGAAAGGAGAGGGCAAGGCUGGUGCCAGCCGCCGCGGUAAAACCAGCUCUUCAAGUGGUCGGGAUAAUUAUUGGGCUUAAAGUGUCCGUAGCCGGUUUAGUAAGUUCCUGGUAAAAUCGGGUAGCUUAACUAUCUGCAUGCUAGGAAUACUGCUAUACUAGAGGGCGGGAGAGGUCUGAGGUACUACAGGGGUAGGGGUGAAAUCUUAUAAUCCUUGUAGGACCACCAGUGGCGAAGGCGUCAGACUGGAACGCGCCUGACGGUGAGGGACGAAAGCCAGGGGAGCGAACCGGAUUAGAUACCCGGGUAGUCCUGGCCGUAAACGAUGCAUACUAGGUGAUGGUACGGCCAUGAGCCGUAUCAGUGCUGUAGGGAAACCGUUAAGUGUGCCGCCUGGGAAGUACGGUCGCAAGGCUAAAACUUAAAGGAAUUGGCGGGGGAGCACCACAAAGGGUGAAGCCUGCGGUUCAAUUGGAGUCAACGCCGGAAAUCACUAGUGCGGCCGCCUGC